UAUGUACAACAGUGAAUAGCUGUACUUGAAAAAUUUGUGUAUAAAGUGUUUUGAAUAUUAAUGAACAAAGUGCAUUUAUUAUUAAUGAAGAAAGUCACGAAAAAAUAGUGAAAGAGAAUGAAGAAGAAAAGCGUAAAGAGCUAAAAAGAAAAAAACUAAUGCACGUCAAAGGGCAUAUUAUCAGCGUCAGAAAGAUUUGAAGAAAAAUGAAGAAAUAAUAAAAACAGUACCAAAAUCAAAUGCUGAACGUCAAAGGAAAUUUCGUCAACAUAAUGCAGAAAAAUCUUACAUGGAUAUAAAAAGACGAAAAUUGUGCAGUAAUGAAGUUUCAAUGAUAAAUAUUCUUGAAUAACCAACAGCUACUGUAAGAUAAUAAAACCCACAUGUAUUGUAAAAUAAUAAAAAUAUUUUAAACAAUA